CUUUCAAGAUGCCGAUGAGGGCGCUUUCCAUGACGCAUGCUCCAUUUUGGAGCUCGUUGGUAAUAUCGGGGUGUCAAUUGUCAAGAACUUUCACCGGUUUUUUCACCAUGAGUUCUCGAAAAGUGAUGGCGAUACAGGCAAGAAAGAAGCGAAAGCCGCCCAAGAAUCGACAGAAACAUGACGGAUC